rnacentral:rRNA from 1 species
GACGAACGCUGGCGGCAUGCCUAAUACAUGCAAGUCGAGCGAACAGAUGAAGUGCUUGCACUUCUGACGUUAGCGGCGAACGGGUGAGUAACACGUAAGGAAUCUACCUAUAAGCGGGGGAUAACAUUCGGAAACGGGUGCUAAUACCGCAUAAUAUCUUCUUCCGCAUGGAAGAAGAUUGAAAGACGGCUUUGCUGUCACUUAUAGAUGACCUUGCGGUGCAUUAGUUAGUUGGUGGGGUAAUGGCCUACCAAGACGAUGAUGCAUAGCGGACCUGAGAGGGUGAUCGGCCACAUUGGGACUGAGACACGGCCCAAACUCCUACGGGAGGCAGCAGUAGGGAAUCUUCCGCAAUGGGCGAAAGCCUGACGGAGCAAUACCGCGUGAGUGAAGAAGGCCUUCGGGUCGUAAAACUCUGUUAUAAGAGAAGAACAAAUUGUAGAGUAACUGCUACAGUCUUGACGGUAUCUUAUCAGAAAGCCACGGCUAACUACGUGCCAGCCGCCGCCGUAA